rnacentral:rRNA from 1 species
UACGGAGGGUGCAAGCGUUAUCCGGAAUCACUGGGUUUAAAGGGUGCGUAGGCGGCGUUAUAAGUCAGAGGUGAAAUCCCACAGCUUAACUGUGGAACUGCCUUUGAUACUGCAAUGCUUGAAUCAGGUUGAGGUCGGCGGAAUGUGUUGUGUAGCGGUGAAAUGCAUAGAUAUGACAUAGAACACCAAUUGCGAAGGCAGCUGGCUAGACCUGUAUUGACGCUGAGGCACGAAAGCGUGGGGAGCAAACAGG